UGGGGAAUCUUGCGCAAUGGGCGAAAGCCUGACGCAGCCAUGCCGCGUGAAUGAUGAAGGUCUUAGGAUUGUAAAAUUCUUUCACCGGGGACGAUAAUGACGGUACCCGGAGAAGAAGUCCCGGCUAACUUCGUGCCAGCAGCCGCGGUAAUACGAAGGGGGCUAGCGUUGCUCGGAAUUACUGGGCGUAAAGGGCGCGUAGGCGGACAUUUAAGUCAGAGGUGAAAUCCCGGAGCUCAACUUCGGAACUGCCUUUGAUACUGGGUGUCUUGAGUGUGAGAGAGGUAUGUGGAACUCCGAGUGUAGAGGUGAAAUUCGUAGAUAUUCGGAAGAACACCAGUGGCGAAGGCGACAUACUGGCUCAUUACUGACGCUGAGGCGCGAAAGCGUGGGGAGCAAAC
rnacentral:rRNA from 1 species